rnacentral:rRNA from 1 species
AUGUCAGCAGCCGCGGUAAGACGAACCGUGCGAACGUUGUUCGGAAUCACUGGGCUUAAAGGGCGCGUAGGCGGUUUGCCAAGUCAGGGGUGAAAUCCUGCAGCUCAACUGUAGAAGUGCCUUUGAUACUGGCGAACUCGAGGGAGGUAGGGGCGGGUGGAACUUCUGGUGGAGCGGUGAAAUGCGUUGAUAUCAGAAGGAACGCCGGUGGCGAAAGCGACCCACUGGAUCUCUACUGACGCUGAGGCGCGAAAGCUAGGGGAGCAAACGGGAUUAGAUACCCCUGUAGUCC